rnacentral:rRNA from 1 species
UAGGGAAUCUUCGGCAAUGGACGAAAGUCUGACCGAGCAACGCCGCGUGAGUGAAGAAGGUUUUCGGAUCGUAAAACUCUGUUGUUAGAGAAGAACAAGGACGUUAGUAACUGAACGUCCCCUGACGGUAUCUAACCAGAAAGCCACGGCUAACUACGUGCCAGCAGCCGCGGUAAUACGUAGGUGGCAAGCGUUGUCCGGAUUUAUUGGGCGUAAAGCGAGCGCAGGCGGUUUCUUAAGUCUGAUGUGAAAGCCCCCGGCUCAACCGGGGAGGGUCAUUGGAAACUGGGAGACUUGAGUGCAGAAGAGGAGAGUGGAAUUCCAUGUGUAGCGGUGAAAUGCGUAGAUAUAUGUAGGAACACCAGUGGCGAAGGCGGCUCUCUGGUCUGUAACUGACGCUGAGGCGCGAAAGCGUGGGGAGCAAACAGG